rnacentral:rRNA from 1 species
CCUACGGGUGGCAGCAGUGGGGAAUAUUGGGCAAUGGAGGCAACUCUGACCCAGCAACGCCGCGUGAAUGAUGAAGGUCUUCGGAUUGUAAAGCUCUGUGAUGGGGGAUGAACACAAUGACGGUACCCUAAUAGCAAGCCACGGCUAACUACGUGACAGCAGCCGCGGUAAUACGUAGGGGGCAAGCGUUAUCCGGAAUGACUGGGCGUAAAGGGUGCGUAGGUGGCAGAGUAAGUUUGCGGUGAAAUGCCGGGGCUCAACCUCGGCGCUACCGCCAAAAUUGUUAGGCUAGAGUGCAGGGGAGGUAAGUGGAAUUCCUAGUGUAGCGGUGGAAUGCGUAGAUAUUAGGAGGAACACCAGGGGCGAAGGCGACUUACUGGACUGUAACUGACGCUGAGGCACGAAAGCGUGGGGAGCAAACAGGAUUAGAUACCCUAGUAGUC